CCUACGGGUGGCUGCAGUAGGGAAUCUUCCACAAUGGGCGCAAGCCUGAUGGAGCAACACCGCGUGAGUGAAGAAGGGUUUCGGCUCGUAAAGCUCUGUUGUUGGAGAAGAACGUUCGUGAGAGUAACUGUUCACGCAGUGACGGUAUCCAACCAGAAAGUCACGGCUAACUACGUGCCAGCAGCCGCGGUAAUACGUAGGUGGCAAGCGUUAUCCGGAUUUAUUGGGCGUAAAGCGAGCGCAGGCGGUUGCUUAGGUCUGAUGUGAAAGCCUUCGGCUUAACCGAAGAAUGGCAUCGGAAACCGGGAGACUAGAGUGAGGGAGAGGACAGUGGAACUCCAUGUGUAGCAGUGAAAUGCGUAGAUAUAUGGAGGAACACCAGUGGCGAAGGCGGCUGGCUGGUCUGCAACUGACGCUGAGGCUCGAAGGCAUGGGUAGCGAACGGGAUUAGAUACCCGGGUAGUC
rnacentral:rRNA from 1 species